UUGCAGAUUAAAAGUGUGAUUGAAGAGUUGGGAAGGCUUCCAAAAGUAAUUCACAGUAACUUGUGGGUAGACUGAGUGAGGUUAGAUUAUGAUGCAGUUGUGAUGGGAGAGGAAAGACCCAGGCCAUUUCUUCCCGUCUUGGAUAGGGAUAUCUAUGGUGGUUAGCCUAUGCCUGUUCCAACAUUGUAUGUUGGGGGUGGGGUCAGAUGACUUUCUCUUUAGUUUACAGGUCUUCAGAAGAAGAGGAGCCCAGGCACGGUGGCUCAUGCCUGUAAUCCCAGCACUUUGGGAGGUCGAGGUGGGAGAAUCAGCUGAGUUCAGGAGUUCAAGACCAGCCUGACCAACAUGGUGAAACCUCAUCUCUACUAAAAAUACAAAAAGUAGCCAGGCAUGGUGGUGGACACCUGUAAUCCCAGCUACUCAGGAGGCUGAGGCAGGAGAAUCGCUUGAACCCCAGAGGCAGAGAUUGCAGUGACCUGAGAUCGUGCCACUGCACUCCAGCCUGGGCAACAGAGUGAAACUUCUUUAAAAAAGAAAAAAAAAAAGAAGAGGAGGAAUUGUAUUCUGGAAGUAUACUUAAGGUAAUACAGUUGAGAAAUCUCAUCUAUACAUGGACCUGAUUUAGAUGAUGAAAUUCUAGACUUUGAGCUGAUGCUAUAAUGGGAUUCGACUUUGGGGUAGCUUGAGAGGGAGCGAGUGUAUUUUGCAUGUGGAAGGAAUGUAAAUCACCAGAAUUCAGAGGGCAUGCUCGUGGUGGCCAUUCUUUAAAACAUCCCCCAGUGAUUCCGACCUCCUGAUAUGCAUGCCUUUCCAUAGUCUCCUACAUUGUGUCUGGGUUGGUCUGCAAAGCCAAUGCAGUAUGAAAUGAUGUGUGUGACUUCCAAAGCUAGGUCCUAAAAGACAUUAGGGCUUUCCGUCUCCUCCCUCCCCACUCUCCCUCUUUCUUGUUCUGCUUUCUCUGAGAGAAAUUAACUACUAUGUCAUGAGGUCACUCAAGAAACUCUAUGGAGAGGUCCACGUGGCAAGGAACUGAGCCCUCCUGCUACGAGCCAGUGAGGAACUGAACCCUCCAACUACCAACCACGUGGGGCAGCCAUCUUGGAAACAGAUCCUCCUGCCCCGGUUAAGACUUCAGAUGACUACAGCCAAUCUCUUGACUGAAACCUCAUAAGACUCUUGAACUAGAACCAACUGACUCCCAAAACUGUGUAAGGUGAUGUCCACUGGUCACUUAUGUGUACCCUCUCUGUCCCGAUAUGGCUCCAGGACACUGACAUCAGAUGAUAUUUCCAAGGUAAGUGCAGAGAAGACCCUGGAUGUGGACUUUGCUUCUCCAUGGGCCUCCUAAUGCCUGGGUUUUUGAAACUCAAAAAUCCAAAACUGAGCUCAAGUGCAGUAAGCCCCAGCUGAGAUUAUGAAAGUACCAGGAUCAUAAAGAUACAUGUGUCCACUGGGUGCAGUGGCUCCUACCUGGAAUCCCAGCACUUUUGGAGUCUGAGGCGAGAGGAUCACUUGAGCUCAGGAGACCAGCCUGGGCAACAUCGUGAGAUUCUGUCUCUACAAAAAUAAAAAUUGGCCGGGUGCGGUGGCUCACGCCUGUAAUCCCAGCACUUUGGGAGGCCAAGGCGGGUGGAUCACCUGAGGUUGGGAGUUCGAGACCAGCCUGGCCAACAUAAUGAAACCCUGUCUCUAAUAAAAAUACAAAAAUUAGCCGAGCAUGGUGGUGGGCAACUAUAGUCCUAGCUACUUGGGAGGCUGAGGCAUGAGAAUCACUUGAACCCAGGAGGCAGAGGUUGCAAUGAUCCGAGAUCGUGGCCACUGCACUGCAGCCUAGGUGACAGAGCGAGACUCCAUCUCAAAAAAUAAAAACAAAAAUAAAAAAUAUUAGCUGGGCAUGAUGGUGUUUGCCUGUAAUCCCAGCUGUGUGGGAAGCUGAGAUGCAAGGAUCACUUCAGCCCAGGAGUUCGAGGCUGCAGUGAGCUAUGAUUGUGCCUGUGAACUCCAGCCUGGACAACAGAGGGAGACCCUGUCUCUGAAAAAACAAAAUCAAAAAAAUAUGUUAAUAUCGUACUUUACAAGUAUUAUUUUGUCAAAGUGGUGUCGAGAAUGUCAAAUAUUGCUUCUCAGCUGGGCGCGGUGGCUCACGCCUGGAAUCCCAAUGCUUUGGGAGGCUGAGGCGGAUCACCUGAUCAGGUCAGGAGUUCGAGACCAGCCUGGCCAACAUGGUGAAACCCCAUCUCUACUAAAAAUACAAAAAUUAGCCAGUCAUGAUGGUGCGCACCUGUGAUCCCAGCUACUUGGGAGGCUGAGGCAGGAGAAUGGCUUGAACCUGGGAGGUGGAGCUUGCAGUGAGCCGAGAUUGCGCCACUGCACUCCAGCCUGGGCAACAGAGCGAGACUGUGUCUCAAAACAAAACAAAGAACAUGUCACUGAAAUGUAGGCCUGAGGGAAAGAAGCAAACGAUCAGUGGAAUUUUUUUCUGCCCAGUGUUAAAAAUUGAAAUUGACCUCCAAGCUGUCAAUGCCUUCAACUCUACCAUUGCCCAACAAUUCUCAAAAAGAUACAGGGUUUGGACAUCAGACUUCAGAUAAACAUACUCCCACAAGCAGGAGGAAAAACCACUCUGCCCGUGUGGGUUAAGGCUAGAGGAGCUUUAGAUGAACAAAAGCACCAAAUAAUAUGGAAUGCAGUUUGGAAAACAAGGAUCGGUUAGAGGAAGAUGGUAAUUUACAGAGGAGCUUCACUGGGAAAAUUCAGACUUCAGAAUAAGCUGAAGAUCUUCCUGAAUUCACACAAGAGAGGGAGAGGGUAUCUUCUACCUUAGAAAAUAAAAUAAAACAGAGUUGUUCCUGGAGGAACCACCUUAGAUUUUGGAGCAGAAAUUGAUGUGAAUCUGGCUCAGCCUCUAAGGGCAAAUUCUCAACAAUCAAGAUGUCAGGGAGUGGGGUUCAGUGGUCCUCCCACUUCUGAUUUCCUAAGAACAAGCUGAUUGGAGGCUGUUGGCGCCGAGAAGCUAUAAGCAGAACUAGAAGCAGAGCAGGCUAUAUGAUUGAUUAGGGGUGCAUAUUUGCCUUUCUCAGUUGGUCCUAAGUGGAAGUGGAGACAGAAAUGAAGAAAUCUGGCAGUUAUUGACCAAGCCCUUACUGUUUGAGGCCAAUUGCUGUAGAGGAUUUGUUUGGCUUCCUUCCAGGGCUGGUUGCUACAGAGGUUAUGGGACAAAGGUCUGUGUUUAUAUUUGAUUCUGUCCAUUGUCCUUUUGUAUAGUCAGUCUCUCACUAGCGAUGUAUGACAGUUCCAGCUGCUCUGUAUUCUCACCAGUACUUGGUACUGUUUGUUUUGGAU
rnacentral:lncRNA from 1 species